rnacentral:rRNA from 1 species
GAUCUCUCGAUGACCACCUGUGGCGAAGGCGGUCUACCAGAACACGUCCGACGGUGAGGGAUGAAAGCUGGGGGAGCAAACCGGAUUAGAUACCCGGGUAGUCCCAGCUGUAAACUAUGCAAACUCAGUGAUGCAUUGACUUAUGGUCAAUGCAGUGCUGCAGGGAAGCCGUUAAGUUUGCCGCCUGGGAAGUACGUACGCAAGUAUGAAACUUAAAGGAAUUGGCGGGGGAGCACCACAAGGGGUGAAGCCUGCGGUUCAAUUGGAGUCAACGCCAGAAAUCUUACCCGGAGAGACAGCAGAAUGAAGGUCAAGCUGAAGACUUUACCAGACAAGCUGAGAGGUGGUGCAUGGCCGUCGCCAGCUCGUGCCGUGAGAUGUCCUGUUAAGUCAGGUAACGAGCGAGAUCCCUGCCUCUAGUUGCCACCAUUACUCUCAGGAGUAGUGGGGCGAAUUAGCGGGACCGCCGCAGUUAAUGCGGAGGAAGGAAGGGGCCACGGCAGGUCAGUAUGCCCCGAAACUCUGGGGCCACACGCGGGCUGCAAUGGUAAUGACAAUGGGUUCCGAAUCCGAAAGGAGGAGGUAAUACCCAAACAUUACCACAGUUAUGACUGAGGGCUGCAACUCGCCCUCACGAAUAU